GAUGAACGCUAGCUACAGGCUUAACACAUGCAAGUCGCAGGGUAACAUGAGGAAAGCUUGCUUUCCUUGAUGACGACUGGCGCACGGGUGAGUAACGCGUAUCCAACCUUCCCAUAACUACGGGAUAACCCGUUGAAAGACGGCCUAAUACCGUAUGAUAUCUUUUGCUGACAUCAAAUAACGAUUAAAGGUUUAGCGGUUAUGGAUGGGGAUGCGUCUGAUUAGCUUGUUGGCGGGGUAACGGCACACCAAGGCGACGAUCAGUAGGGGUUCUGAGAGGAAGGUCCCCGACAUUGGAACUGAGCCACGGUCCAAAGUCCUACGGGAGGCAGCAGUGCGGAAUAUUGGUCAAUGGGCGAGAGCCUGAACCAGCCAAGUAGCGUGCAGGACGACGGCCCUAGGGGUUGUAAACUGCUUUUAUGUGGGGAUAAAGUGCGUGACGUGUCAUGCAUUGCAGGUACCACAUGAAUAAGGACCGGCUAAUUCCGUG
rnacentral:rRNA from 1 species